rnacentral:rRNA from 1 species
UGCCACCUACGGGAGGCAGCAGUGGGGGAUAUUGCACAAUGGGGGGAACCCUGAUGCAGCGACGCCGCGUGGGCGAUGGAGUGCUUCGGCAUGUAAAGCCCUAUCAGCAGGGAAGAAAAUGACGGUACCUGACUAAGAAGCCCCGGCUAAAUACGUGCCAGCAGCCGCGGUAAUACGUAUGGGGCAAGCGUUAUCCGGAUUUACUGGGUGUAAAGGGGGCGCAGACGGCAGCGCAAGCCAGGAGUGAAAGCCCGGGGCCCAACCCCGGGACUGCUCUUGGAACUGCGCGGCUGGAGUGCAGGAGGGGCAGGCGGAAUUCCUGGUGUAGCGGUGAAAUGCGUAGAUAUCAGGAGGAACACCGGUGGCGAAGGCGGCCUGCUGGACUGCGACUGACGUUGAGGCCCGAAAGCGUGGGGAGCAAACAGGAUUAGAUACCCCAGUA